GUCAGGAUGGCCGAGCGGUCUAAGGCGCUGCGUUCAGGUCGCAGUCUCCACUGGAAGCGUGGGUUCAAAUCCCAUUUCUGACA
rnacentral:tRNA from 1 species